UACGUAGGGUGCGAGCGUUAAUCGGAAUUACUGGGCGUAAAGCGUGCGCAGGCGGUUCUGAAAGUCAGCUGUGGAAAGCCCCGGGCUUAACCUGGGAAUGGACGGUUGAAACUACAGGACUAGGAAUCUGGGCAGAGGGGGGUGGAAUUCCACGUGUAGCAGUGAAAUGCGUAGAGAUGUGGAGGAACACCGAUGGCGAAGGCAGCCCCCUGGGCUGAGAUUGACGCUCAGGCACGGAAAGCGUGGGGAGCAAACAGG
rnacentral:rRNA from 1 species